rnacentral:rRNA from 1 species
UACUGCAAACAGCCCAGUAGUGGUCAAUGCCUGAUCUCGUCUGAUCUCGGAAACUAAGCAGAGUCUGGCCUGGUUAGUUCUUGGAUGGGACAGUGCUGGGAAUACCAUGACCUACAGUGG